UCGAGUUAGGGUCGUUCUGGCCCGAACUUCCAACCCCUUGUUUAUCACACCAUGUUGCUUUGGUGGGCCCGCCCUCCUUGGGGGGGCCGCCGGAGGUUAUCUGACCCCUGGCCCGCGCCUGCCAGUAGCCUUAUUAAAUUCUUUUUUAACUGUGUCGUCUGAGUGGUUUUUUAAAUCAAUAA
rnacentral:misc_RNA from 1 species